UGUCUUCUCUUCUUCGUGGUUUCUAGAGAGAGAAAGUUCCAGAUCAACUUUAGAGAGAGAAAUUCCAUAGUUCUUCGUAUGAGUUUUCUACACCUUGUAUCUCUAUGUGAGAUUGAGAGGUUUCUUUAUGAAACAUAUGAGUGAGGGUGUAAUUGGGACUUUGGGAUUGGUUUUGGGUUUCUUGUGUGAGACCACCAUUGUUGGUCUGUUUUGAGCUUGUAAACACAUAUUUUCUUAUAGUGCAGAAGCUUCACGCCGAAGCACGAGGACAUAGGUCUAAAGCAAGGAGUCACCACAAGAAGGCAGGGGAAAACAGAAUCUCCGAAGUAGUGAUUGAUAACUUGGACACCGAUCGAUAGACACUUUGACAAGCUGCUGAAUAUACUAUACAAGCUGAGAGGAUAGCAAUGAUGCAGGACGACUGAUAUAACAAUUUGAAAGACAAAUUCGGGCAAGGAUCACCUACCCUCUCAUUAUUUGCAUUCUUUAAGUUUAUGUCAAUAACUUUCUAUGAUUAUUUUUCAAGUGAAACCAAACAUGAAGUUACAGGGAACAUACUCGUGAAAUAACCGAGAACCACAGGGCAUAACUUGAAUGAGCUCAGUGUAGGAGAUCAGGUUAUGAUCUUAUUUUAUUUUGUUGACUUUGGAAUUUAGAAUUUGAAGCAGGUUCAGUUUAUUUAUUUUUUUAUUUGAAACAUUAAAAAAAAAAAAAGAAUCUUUAUUUUGUGGAAAAAUGUGGCCAAGUAAUUGUUUGAACAAGCAAUCAAGAGCAACGAACGGUUCACUGGACUAUUGAAACAAAGAGUGAUGCGAGCAGGAUACUCAUUAACUUGAAUAACGAUGGCACUUUGAAACCAUUGGCAAUUGAAAUAAACCUGCCACAUCUUAUUCCCCGUAAAUGACUCUGGCUAUCAUAAUUUUAUCAGCCACUGGUAUGGCUUUGCGAAAGAAAGCUUUGCCAACAUUUGUCUAUAUUUUGUUACAAGUAAUAGAAAGCUUUGGCAGGUUGAAAUCUCCUGCAGCGAUUGAAUCAUUUGUGAUAGCAGUGAAUAGACAGCUGUAUGAUUCAGCCAAUUCAUAAAUUAUUGCAUCCUCACUUCUGUGACAAGCAUGAUUGUAAAUGCAGAUUCAAGGCAAAAUUCUCUUUCACCGAGGUGGAACAUUUGAGUCUGCAGUAUUUUCUCGGUAAAAUAUUCGAUGGAAGUGUCAUAAUAAUUUACAAGAAUUUGAUUUUUCCUGACCAAGGGUCUGAUAGAAAGGUUAAUCUUAUGUUGACUUUUAAAGAUUAACCCAUCACUAAUAAGAAUUUGGAACAUCCAAAUAUUUGCUUUUAUGAUAUCGGAAUAUUCGAUUCAGGAAACUACUGCUGCACAAAAUGUUAUACUCAAUUUCAUUUAUUUAUUUAUUUUGUUUACUUUGGUUUAUAUUUAAUCUUAUUUAGAAAAAAUACAAUUGACACGAGUUUAGGGUCUAACAAGAUCUAAGAAAUAUUACUGCAUGGUUAGUUAUUAGCUAACAAAGAUAAUGCGUCAUUAGUGGCAAUGAUAUUUUUCAUUCAGAUGACAUCUUAAGCUUAUAUACUUUUGAUUUUUUCGGAGGACUAGGAGUGGCAGUUUGAGGCGGUACUUAGUAUGAGGAGCUCAAGACAAAUCCUAAAAAGACUUUCUAUGUAAACUUUUAAUGCCCCAGCUUCAGAGUGUCUUUGGCAUUUUCCUUGUAGGAAUUCUGUCAAGGCACUGCAUUUGAUGAGAUCUAAUAUUGGGCAGAGAGAAACUCCAGAAUCGACAGCAGAUGAAAAAGUAGUGAUGGCCUUGAGAAAUUUGGAAAGAAGCUGAAGGAAACAGUAAGGAUGAGAAAUUGAACAUCUAAGGUGUGGCACUAGCAGUGAAGGUGGAAUUACUGGCAAGGGAAAUAUUCCAAAUAGUACUGUCUUAGUCUAAAGUUUGCUGGUUAGACUGUUUGGUACAACUUUUUUUUGGUAUGAACCAAUAAAUCUUUACGGGUCAACUUUCUAACGUAUUGAAACUACAUAUGUAUUAAUCUUUUUGUUGCUUUUUUAUUUUUAUA